rnacentral:pre_miRNA from 1 species
UAUUAGCUUGGUGCAAAAGUAAUUGUGAGUUUUGCCAUUUCUUUCAAUGGCAAAACUCACAAUUACUUUUGCACCAAACUAAUA